rnacentral:rRNA from 1 species
UACGAAGGGGGCUAGCGUUGCUCGGAUUGACUGGGCGUAAAGGGCGCGUAGGCGGUUCGUACAGUCAGACGUGAAAUUCCUGGGCUCAACCUGGGGGCUGCGUUUGAUACGUGCGGACUUGAGUGCGGAAGAGGGUCGUGGAAUUCCCAGUGUAGAGGUGAAAUUCGUAGAUAUUGGGAAGAACACCGGUGGCGAAGGCGGCUCUCUGGCCCGCAACUGACGCUGAGGCGCGAAAGCGUGGGGAGCAAACAGG